UAAUUAUGUGUUAUACACAGGCACACAGCUCUGGCCAAAACCAAAUCUUCCCUCAAAUUUCCCUCCGUUUCUUACCCUGAACCCUAGUUUCUCCCACUGUAUGCCUUCCAGAUCGCCUUGAUUACUCUCUUAAUAUCUUCUUUUUUCUAGGUGUUUUCUUUCUUUCUGGAACCCUAAAACUUGAGAGUUCUGGAAAUUUAUCUUCUGAGGAUAGUAGAUGUGGUGGAUUUCUACUCAGAGGAUCUAGUUUGGAGUUCUUGAGAUUUUUCGAUUUUGCGCUUCUUCAUCAGCAAGCAAAAGGUAACCUGAGGCUUAUUGACAUGGCGGAAUUUAAGUUUUAUUAGUGAGCUGCCAGUGAUAUCCAAUGUCUGCUAACCAGGGUCCUACACUUACUGCAAAGCACCAAAGAAAUCAAAGAUGCGGGUCCAGAUCGAUCGACUCUCCUAUAGACGCGAAAGAGAUUACAAUUACGGCCGAUCUAGAUAUGAUUCCAACAGUGACAUAGGCGGUAAGAGGGAUGAUAAGUGGACGAGGCGUGAUUCCAGUGAUCAUGUGCGUGAUAAAAAAUGUUUGAGUCUGGAGAGAGAUCAAUGUCCACAUAGAAGGUGCAAACGUUCUCAAUAUUCUGGGCAUGAUGACCGUCAGAGAUCAAGGUCUCCUCAAGUUUGCACUCGUGGCCGCAGUCACCAAGACAACUAUGGCAAAGACCGACACAAUAAGAGUGAGGGGCACAGGAAUCGGGAUGACAGACAAAGCCAUGAACAUUCUUCAAUAACUCUAACUGCUACGGUUGAGGUGAAGGGUUUAUCGAAACAGACAACUGUGGAAAAUAUUCAUCAGAUUCUAUUGCUUCUAUCAUAGGCGGAAUGGAGGCCCUUUCUGCAUGUCCGAGUGAUGAGAAGAAGGAAAUCUAGUGUCUGCCGCGGAAUUGCUUUCAUUGAUUUUCCAUCUGUGGCAGCAGCUCAGAAGAUGAUGGAUGUAGUUGGAGAUUGCGGCCUCGAUGUUAAUGGGCAAAAGCUGUCGUUUGAGUACAGUCAACUGGGAAAACAAAUGAUUAUGGAAGAAAGGAGUGUGUGGCAGUUACUUCGGAAAACAUUGCGGCUGUCCCUGUUGUAGAAGAACUUGAGAACGGUAACCUCCAGCCUGACUCUUCGUCAGAUUGUAUUUCUACAUCCAUCUCCCUAGAAGAUCUUGAAGAACUAAUGAUUUGUAUCAAGAAAGAUCCAUAUUUGGAACCUAUUGUAGAAGAUAUCGAGAUUGGUGGCCCAAUUGUAAUGAUGAGGUACUUGAAUGAUUCAGAGGUUCUGUACAAGUUGGGGCAGGCUAUGGGUCUUGGAGUUUCAGGGGAAAUUGACACAACAAAGCCACUAUCCACAUCAGGUCCGAUGAACAAAUAUACAGACAAACUCGAAAUAGUAAAAUACAAGAAACCAGAGAAGGAAAUCAAUUUGGUUGUAUCUGUGCCAUAAGCAAGCUAUAUGGGAACUGAUGAUUACACUGUGCAGUUUGGCAUGAAAUGCUUAUGACUUUAUUACUUUCAAAAAGUUAGUAUUAGUGAAAUGGUGAACGGAAUCUGUACAAAGAUAUCUUCCUGUAAUGGAUUGAAUUAGUGUUUGUGAUGCUUAAAAAAAUCAUCUCGCUAGUCACAGUAUGAAAUACAAUGGUACAAAAUGAAAUUCUACACAGA